AAAAAAUAAAAAAAAUGUCCAUUGCUGACGUUUAUUUUCGUUGGAAGAACAAUUGAAAAGAAACGCGCUAGGCAAUGCUGAUGAGUCUCAACAAAGACGAAACAUUUUUUUUAUUAUUCCAAUGGGCAUCUACAUUGUCAGAUUUCUAACCUCAUCGUUAGUUGUGAGGUUAUCCGAUACGAUGUCUACGAUAAGAACAAAUGCCGAUAAAUUACAAGAUACUCGUCGAUCGUGCGAAGAAGGUGCUUCGAAAAUUCGUUUCAAGCAGAAAGAACUACAUUUUACAUAUAACAGAUAGAAAGUAAACCAUUAUCGACAAUUGUUUUAUGAAAAAUGUCUUGGACCAAUCAUUGCAAAGGGAUAACUUCAUUGAAGAAACUACUAUUGUAACGAGGACCAACAUCAUCUAGACAUAAAGGAAUAUUCCGAAAAAAAGCAUCACUUAUAUCAAUAUAUUUAAAUAUAACAAAUGGACAACAAAUCACCAUGGACAACGUAAUGAAAAGAAAAAAAAAAGUUUCAGUGAAUAAAUGUUAUCAGAACUCGAUAGGAAUCUGUCGAAUCAAGCAAGAAAUACAUUAUUUGGAUAAACAAAUUUUAGUUUAACAAGAUUCAAAAAAUUGCAGAAAGACAAUUGAUACAAGAACUAGAUGUUUUACUACCCCUAAUAACGAAAUAACCAAAUAUUCGUUUUAUUUAUUUCGGAAACGCAAAAAAAGCUGACGUCCCAGGUAUGGGUUUAGACCAUUGAAGAGCCACUUGAGAGAGCUUCAAAAUGACGUACUACUCAAUCACCUUGAAGCGGUCGAGAAUGUGUAAAACUACCCCCAAUAAUAAAAUAACCAAAUGUUUAUUUUAUUUAUUUCGGAAUCGCAAAAAAAGCUGAUGUCCCAGGUACAUAAUUAGGCCAUUGAAAAACCGCUUAGAAGAGGGUAGUUUAACAGCAAAAUUUAUCAUCAAUGAGUUAUCAAUAAAACGACUUCUGAUAACUUCGAGAGAAAUUACCAUAAGAAAUUUAAAUAAACCAUCAUUGCCAAUUUGGAAAGAAAAUUAUCCAAGUAAAAUAUUAUUUGGAUAAAUGGAUAUAAACACAGGUAGACAACAAAUCAUCAUCGACAACUGAAUUAUAAAGAAUAGCGCCAAUCAGUUAUCGGAAACGAAAUCCUUGACGAUUUCACUCAAAGGAUGAUCAUUGAAACUUUACCAAGAAUCAUCAUCAUUUAAUCAGAAGAAAAUCAUUUGCGGAGUAUAUCACUUCAAUAAAUAGAUUUAAAUAUAAAAAAUAAAGGAAACCCUCACUAUGCAACGAGUCAUCUUGAAGACUACAAUCAAACAUCUGACGGAAACCAAUUAUUGCCUGUUGGACAUCAAGAAUAUUCAUCAACCAUUGAAAUAAAGAUAACAACUGUACGACACGAAUCAAGGAAACAAUUCAAACAACCUACAAGUAUGGAAGGAGAUAUAACAAGGACAGGAAAAUAUUCAUUGGAAAUAAGGUGCGAUAUAAAAAUAGAAAAUUAAUGUAAAUUGUAAUAUGCGGUUAAACGAUUUGAAAUGUAUAUUUAUAUAUCGUAUAAUCAAAUGUGAUUGUACAAUUACGAUUCAUUUACAAGUAAUUUUAUUUUAAUUAUUAUGUUACAAUUUCUCUCCUCUUACAAACAUAUUAUGAAAUGAAAUAUUAAUAAUUACAUUUUAUUAUUUCAAUC